GGAUUAGAAACCCCGGUAGUCUUGGCCAUAAACGAUGUUCACUAGGUGUUGGGGCUUUGCCUCGGUGCCGCAGCUAACGCAUUAAGUGAACCGCCUGGGAACUACGAUCGCAAGAUUAAAACUCAAAGGAAUUGGCGGGGGCCCGCACAAGCGGUGGAGCAUAUGGCUUAAUUCGAUGCAACGCGAAGAACCUUACCAGGGCUUGACAUGCACCUGCACGCUCCCGAAACGGAGUCGCCUUCGAGGGUGGUGCACAGGUGGUGCAUGGCUGUCGUCAGCUCGUGUUGUGAAAUGUUGGGUUAAGUCCCGCAACGAGCGCAACCCUCACGGUCUGUUACCAGCGAGUCAAGUCGGGGACUCGGACCGAACUGCCUCUGUAAAGAGGAGGAAGGUG
rnacentral:rRNA from 1 species